rnacentral:rRNA from 1 species
CCUACGGGAGGCAGCAGUGGGGAAUUUUGGACAAUGGGCGAAAGCCUGAUCCAGCAAUGCCGCGUGCAGGAUGAAGGCCUUCGGGUUGUAAACUGCUUUUGUACGGAACGAAACGGUUCUUUCUAAUAAAGAGAGCUAAUGACGGUACCGUAAGAAUAAGCACCGGCUAACUACGUGCCAGCAGCCGCGGUAAUACGUAGGGUGCAAGCGUUAAUCGGAAUUACUGGGCGUAAAGCGUGCGCAGGCGGUUAUGUAAGACAGUUGUGAAAUCCCCGGGCUCAACCUGGGAAUUGCAUCUGUGACUGCAUAGCUAGAGUACGGUAGAGGGGGAUGGAAUUCCGCGUGUAGCAGUGAAAUGCGUAGAUAUGCGGAGGAACACCGAUGGCGAAGGCAAUCCCCUGGACCUGUACUGACGCUCAUGCACGAAAGCGUGGGGAGCAAACAGGAUUAGAUACCCUGGUAGUCCACGCCCUAAACGAUGUCAACUGGUUGUUGGGUCUUCACUGACUCAGUAACGAAGCUAACGCGUGAAGUUGACCGCCUGGGGAGUCGGCCGCAAGGUUGAAACUCAAAGAGUAGUAGCGNGAGAGACGACGACGACGACGACGAGGAGGGAGG